rfam:Triticum aestivum genome assembly, contig: Triticum_aestivum_CS42_TGACv1_scaffold_375612_5AL
UUAGUACUCCCUCCGUCUUAAAAUUUUUGUCUUAAAUUUGUCUAAAUACGGUUGUAUCAAGUCGCAUUUUAGUAUUAGGUACAUCCGUAUCUAGACAAAUCUAAGACAAGAAUUUUGGGACGGAGGGAAUAAUAA